rnacentral:lncRNA from 1 species
AAAAACUUCUGUCUGAAAAUGCUGCCAGGCGCCUAUUGUGUAAAUGUAGGUAUUUUGUAAAAAAUAACCUUGAAAUUGUAAAUUGACAUGUGUUUGGUCAGAUUGUGUCAGGUUUGUUUCCUUCCGAAAUCAGUCUCAUAAAGCUAUUUUUGAGUAUAGUUUGUGUAAAAUAAAAAUGUUUAGCUUUGGUAAUAACUUUUCCAAGCUGAACUCCCUCUAGCAAGAUAUUUUUCAGUGCUUUUAUUUACUAUGCACUUAG